rnacentral:rRNA from 1 species
CACGUAGGGGGCAAGCGUUGUCCGGAAUUAUUGGGCGUAAAGAGCUCGUAGGCGGCUCGGUAAGUCAGGUGUCAAAUCCUCAGGCUCAACCUGGGGCUCCACCUGAUACUGCUGUGGCUAGAGUCCGGUAGGGGAGCGUGGAAUUCCUGGUGUAGCGGUGAAAUGACGCAGAUAUCAGGAGGAACACCAGCGGCGAAGGCGGCGCUCUGGGCCGGAACUGACGCUGAGGAGCGAAAGCGUGGGUAGCAAACAGG